AAGCAACACUCUGUGGCAGAUGAUCUUCACUGUCUGGCACAAUUUGCGCUUGCUACAGCAAGCAAGUCUAACCUAUUCCGGUGCUCUCUCUUUGGUGAGACAGGCCGUUAUAUAGGCUUGAACAUU
rnacentral:snoRNA from 1 species